AUUGAACGCUGGCGGCAUGCCUUACACAUGCAAGUCGAACGGCAGCACGGGAGCAAUCCUGGUGGCGAGUGGCGAACGGGUGAGUAAUAUAUCGGAACGUGCCCAGUCGUGGGGAUAACGUAGCGAAAGCUACGCUAAUACCGCAUACGAUCUAUGGAUGAAAGCGGGGGAUCGCAAGACCUCGCGCGAUUGGAGCGGCCGAUAUCAGAUUAGGUAGUUGGUGAGGUAAAGGCUCGCCAAGCCGACGAUCUGUAGCUGGUCUGAGAGGACGACCAGCCACACUGGGACUGAGACACGGCCCAGACUCCUACGGAGGCAGCAGUGGGGAAUUUUGGGACAAUGGGCGCAAGCCUGAUCCAGCAAUGCCGCGUGCAGGAUGAAGGCCU
rnacentral:rRNA from 1 species